CAGCAGCCGCGGUAAUACGAGGGGUGCAAGCGUUAUUCGGAUUGAUUGGGUGUAAAGGGUGUGCAGACAGCUUAUUAAGUCACUUGUUAAAUUCUUCGGCCUAACUGAAGGUCUGCAAGUGAUACUGAUGAGCUAGAGGGUGGAAGAGAGAAGUGGAAUUCUCGGAGUAGCGGUAAAAUGCGUAGAUCUCGAGAGGAACACCAAUGGCGAAGGCAGCUUCUUGGUCCAUCCCUGACGUUCAUACACGAAAGCGUGGGGAGCAAACAGGAUUAGAUACCCCGGUAGUCCCUGUCUCUUAUAC
rnacentral:rRNA from 1 species